UAGGGAAUUUUCGUCAAUGGGGGCAACCCUGAACGAGCAAUGCCGCGUGAGCGAAGAAGGUCUUCGGAUUGUAAAGCUCUGUUGCCGGGGAAAAAGGAAGGAAAGAGGAAAUGCUUUUCUUUGGAUGGUACCCGGCCAGAAAGUCACGGCUAACUACGUGCCAGCAGCCGCGGUAAUACGGAGGAUGCGAGCGUUAUCCGGAUUUAUUGGGUUUAAAGGGUGCGUAGGCGGAAUAUCAAGUCAGCGGUAAAAUUGCGGGGCUCAACCCCGUACAGCCGUUGAAACUGCCGGGCUCGAGUGGGCGAGAAGUAUGCGGAAUGCGUGGUGUAGCGGUGAAAUGCAUAGAUAUCACGCAGAACCCCGAUUGCGAAGGCAGCAUACCGGCGCCCGACUGACGCUGAGGCACGAAAGUGCGGGGAUCAAAC
rnacentral:rRNA from 1 species